UACGGAAGGGGCAAGCGUUGUUCGGAAUCAUUGGGCGUAAAGGGCGUGUAGGUGGUUCUGUAUGUCUACCGUGAAAGCGUACGGCUCAACCGUAUUUAGUCGGUAGAAACUGCAGGACUUGAGGCUGGGAGGGGCUGGUGGAAUUCCCCGUGUAGCGGUGAAAUGCGUAGAUAUCUGGAGGAACACCGGUGGCGAAGGCGGCAUCCUGGACCACGACUGACACUGAAAAGCGAAAGCCAGGGGAGCAAACGGG
rnacentral:rRNA from 1 species